rnacentral:tRNA from 1 species
UGUGGUGUGGCUCAGUGGUAGAGCUCUUGCCUAACAUAAGCGAGGAACUGGGGUUCGAUCCUCGGCACCACAU